rnacentral:rRNA from 1 species
UACAGAGGGUGCAAGCGUUGUUCGGAAUUAUUGGGCGUAAAGCGCGCGUAGGUGGCUUCGUAAGUCCGUUGUGAAAGUCAAAGGCUCAACCUUUGAAAGCCGAUGGAUACUGCGGAGCUAGAGUACGGAAGAGGCGAGUGGAAUUCCUGGUGUAGCGGUGGAAUGCGCAGAUAUCAGGAGGAACACCAAUAGCGAAGGCAGCUCGCUGGGACGUUACUGACACUAAGGCGCGAAAGCGUGGGGAGCGAACAGG